rnacentral:lncRNA from 1 species
GCGGUAGCGGGAGAGCGGCAGCGGGACCCCAGCGCGGGCGGCGGCGGCUGGGCGGGAGCCCCAGAGGCGGCCUCCACCCCAGUCCCUGGCCUGGCCUGGGAGGAAACAUCUGUCGCGCCCCCUGGCAGCCGAAAUGGGGUCAUGACCUCCAGAUGUGCUGGGAAGUGGCCAGCUCCUCCUCCUGGGGCAGCCAGGCCUUCCGGAUCUGUGGGGGCGGGGCCGGCCCUUUCCCCCCACCCCUAGUGACACAGGCCCGGAGGAAUGUCCUAGCCUCAAUGGACCCUGUGUGAAGCUUCAGGGUGGGGGGCAGAGCCCGAGAACACCCCUCAAGGCAGCGCCAGAGCCUGGCACUGGGCCACAGCAAGAGGCAGCGCACAGGCUGGGUGCACACAUGCACAGAUCUCACUUCCAAGCGUGCAGAGCUCAGCCCACAAGGAGCGGGGCUUGCACAGACCCCCUCCCUCAUGCCCUCCUACUCCUUCACACACUAUAGCCCAGGCCCGAGCGCUGAAUGUGCCCAGAGCUUGGCUCAUGGAGCCAGGGGCUACACCCGUCACACACACACAUAGCUAGCGACACUCACCUCAUUCUUCUCAGUCUCUCAGCAGCCUUGGGAGGGGACAGAAAUAAUUAAACCCAAUUUUUUUCUUUGUUUUUUUGGAGACAGUCUCACUCUGUCCCGCAGGCUGGAGUUCAGUGGCGCGAUCUCGGCUCACUGCAACCUCUGCCUCCCAGGUUUAAGCGAU